AUACCAUGAUGAGGAUAUAAUAUCAUCAUGUCCUUAUAUCAUUCUCAUGCUUCGAAGAGUGAUUCUCCUUCGGUUUGUCAGAAGCAUAAUUAUGUAAUUUCUCAGUAC